UCCUCACUGAGAAGCUAAUAGGCUGCGUGC
rnacentral:piRNA from 1 species